rnacentral:rRNA from 1 species
UACGAAGGGUGCAAGCGUUACUCGGAAUUACUGGGCGUAAAGCGUGCGUAGGUGGUUUGUUAAGUCUGAUGUGAAAGCCCUGGGCUCAACCUGGGAAUUGCAUUGGAUACUGGCAGGCUAGAGUGCGGUAGAGGAUGGCGGAAUUCCCGGUGUAGCAGUGAAAUGCGUAGAGAUCGGGAGGAACAUCUGUGGCGAAGGCGGCCAUCUGGACCAGCACUGACACUGAAGCACGAAAGCGUGGGGAGCAAACAGG